UAAACUAGGAUUAGAUAACCUAUUAUUUUAAAUGUAAGUUUAGAUGCUAAAUUAGUAAAAGUUAUGUUCUUGAAAAUUAAAAAAUUUGGCGGUAUUUUAGUCUUUUCAGAGGAACCUGUCCUGUAAUUGAUAGUCCACGAUUAGAAAAACUUUAUUUAUUAAUUUAUAUAUCGUUGUAGUUUGAAUAUUUUAAGAGAAAUUAAAUAUUCAUGAUUUUAAAUUAAAAAAUAAAUCAGAUCAAGGUAUAGUUUAUAAUAAAGUAGAGAUGGGUUACAUUAAAAAUAUUUAAGGAUAAUUUUUUUUAAAAGGAUUUGAAUGUGGAUUUGAAAGUAAUUAUAAAUAUAUAUUUAUAAUGAUUUUAGCUCUAAAAUAUGUACAUAUCGCCCGUCGCUUUCAUUUUAAAGUGAAAUAAGUCGUAAACAUAGU
rnacentral:rRNA from 1 species